GAUGGUAGUGUAUUGGACUACCAUGGCUUUAACGGGUAACGGAGGAUUAGGGUUCGAUUCCGGAGAGGGAGCCUGAGAAACGGCUACCACAUCUAAGGAAGGCAGCAGGCGCGUAAAUUACCCAAUCGCGACUCGCGGAGGUAGUGACAAGAAAUAACGGACCGAAGCCUAUGUUUCGGGAUUGCAAUGAGUAGAAUUUAAACCCCUUUACAAGGAUCAAUUGGAGGGCAAGUCUGGUGCCAGCAGCCGCGGUAAUA
rnacentral:rRNA from 1 species